rnacentral:rRNA from 1 species
GACGAACGCUGGCGGCGUGCCUAAUACAUGCAAGUCGAGCGGAGUUAGAGAAGCUUGCUUCUCUAACUUAGCGGCGGACGGGUGAGUAACACGUGGGCAAUCUGCCCGUAAGACUGGGAUAACUCCGGGAAACCGGGGCUAAUACCGGAUAAUCCUGACUCUCUCCUGAGAGUCAGUUGAAAGAUGGUUUCGGCUAUCACUUACGGAUGAGCCCGCGGCGCAUUAGCUAGUUGGUAGGGUAAUGGCCUACCAAGGCGACGAUGCGUAGCCGACCUGAGAGGGUGAUCGGCCACACUGGGGCUGAGACACGGCCCAGACUCCUACGGGAGGCAGCAGUAGGGAAUCUUCCGCAAUGGACGAAAGUCUGACGGAGCAACGCCGCGUGAGUGAAGAAGGUUUUCGGAUCGUAAAACUCUGUUGUUAGGGAAGAACACGUACGAGAGUAACUGCUCGUACCUUGACGGUACCUAACCAGAAAGCCACGGCUAACUACGUG